AUGACCUAUGAAUCGACAGACA
rnacentral:miRNA from 1 species